CAAUGCAUCGACUUCCACGACAAAACGUUAACUUGCUGCCUAAUAUAUCCCACCCACUGACAGGUGCCACUGUAACAAGAUAAUCAAUGCUGUUCAUUUCA